rnacentral:rRNA from 1 species
GACGAACGCUGGCGGCGUGCUUAACACAUGCAAGUCGAACGGAAAGGCCCUGCGCUUGUGGGGUGCUCGAGUGGCGAACGGGUGAGUAACACGUGAGUAACCUGCCCUUGACUGUGUGAUAAAUUCAGGGAACUGGGGCUAAAACCGGAUAGGAGCUCCUGCUGCAUGGGGGUGGUUGGAAAGUUUCGGCGGUGGGGGAUCGACUCGCGGGUUAUCAGCUUGUUGGUGGGGUAGUGGCGUACCAGGGCUUUGACGGGUAGCCGGCCUGAGAGGGUGAACGGGCACAUUGGGACUGCGAGAGGGACCAGUAUGGUACGGGCGGCAGUGGUGGGGAGUAUUGCAGAAUGAGGGCAAGCGUGAUAUAGAAGCCUUGCGUGCGUGAUGACGGCUUUCGGGUUGUAAACCGCUUUCGACGGUGACGUAGAGUGCGUGACGGUAAUGGGUAAAGAAGCAACGGCUAACUACGUG